rnacentral:misc_RNA from 1 species
CAGACUUCUGCGACACCUAAGCGCACACUGUGCUCGUUCUUACGUUUUAUAUCUUUGGGUUUUCAUUCUCGCGGUUCGUAGCGAGUGUUCUCGUCGAUGCACCGCGAAUAUUACACCGGAUGAAUGGGCAGAAAAAGAGGCGAACUCAUCCUGAACGAAGCGGGAUUUCGAGUGCGUGGAACAAAGACAGUUCUGUGCCACAUUUUAUGCGUUUUGAUCGGCGAUGGAUCGAGAGGCUGUUUCACCGGCUGGCCAGCUUUUUUAUGGCUCUAGAAAGGAACAAGAGGACGAAGCAAUUCCACGUUAUGUAGUACAUUUUUGGUAUUAUUAAUCCAUCUGGGACCAUGAUCCCUAAACGAGGC